rnacentral:rRNA from 1 species
AGUGAACGCUGGCGGUAGGCCUAACACAUGCAAGUCGAACGGCAGCACAGUAAGAGCUUGCUCUUACGGGUGGCGAGUGGCGGACGGGUGAGGUAUACAUCGGAAUCUACUUUUUCGUGGGGGAUAACGUAGGGAAACUUACGCUAAUACCGCACACGACCUACGGGUGAAAGCAGGGGAUCUUCGGACCUUGCGCGAUUGAAUGAGCCGAUGUCGGAUUAGCUAGUUGGCGGGGUAAAGGCCCACCAAGGCGACGAUCCGUAGCUGGUCUGAGAGGAUGAUCAGCCACACUGGAACUGAGACACGGUCCAGACCCCUACGGGAGGCAGCAGUGGGGAAUAUUGGACAAUGGGCGCAAGCCUGAUCCAGCCAUACCGCGUGGGUGAAGAAGGCCUUCGGGUUGUAAAGCCCUUUUGUUGGGAAAGAAAAGCAGCAGGUUAAUACCCCGCUGUUCUGACGGUACCCAAAGAAUAAGCACCGGCUAACUUCGUG